rnacentral:rRNA from 1 species
CUAGCGUUGUUCGGAUUUACUGGGCGUAAAGCGCACGUAGGCGGAUCGAUCAGUCAGGGGUGAAAUCCCAGGGCUCAACCCUGGAACUGCCUUUGAUACUGUCGAUCUGGAGUAUGGAAGAGGUGAGUGGAAUUCCGAGUGUAGAGGUGAAAUUCGUAGAUAUUCGGAGGAACACCAGUGGCGAAGGCGGCUCACUGGUCCAUUACUGACGCUGAGGUGCGAAAGCGUGGGGAGCAAACAGG